rnacentral:rRNA from 1 species
AGCGAACGCUGGCGGCAGACCUAACACAUGCAAGUCGAACGAACCUUUCGGGGUUAUUGGCGGACGGGUGAGUAACACGUGGGAACGUGCCCUUAGGUUCGGAAUAACUCAGGGAAACUUGUGCUAAUACCGAAUGUGCCCUUCUGGGGAAAGAUUUAUCGCCUUUGGAGCUGCCCGCGUCUGAUUAGCUAGUUGGUUGAGGUAAUGGCUCACCAAGGCGACGAUUAGUAGCUGGUCUGAGAGGAUGAUCAGCCACAUUGGGACUGAGACACGGCCCAAACUCCUACGGGAGGCAGCAGUGGGGAGUAUUACGCAAGGGGCGAAAGCCUAACGCCGCCGUGCCGGGUGAAUGAUGAAGGUCUUAGGAUUGUAAAAUUCUUUCGGCGGGGACGAUAAUGACGGUACCCGGAGAAGAAGCCCCGGCUAACUACGUG